GCUAGCCAGUUACCCCUGCCCCCCUAAAAAUGGCGGCUGACGUUAAAAAAAGGAAAGUUAAUUUUCAACAAGACAUGGACUGUUAAAUAUUUCUUUACAGACGUCAAAGGUAAAGCCGUGUGCUUAGUUUGUGGUAAACAAGUCGCUGUGUUUAAGGAUUACAAUGUUAAUCGCUACCACGUGACCAAACACGAAGAGAAAUACAAGAACUGAUCUGAUGAAGAGCGCGCAAACGAGUCGGAGGCAGACUAUGUCGAAGACAACGUUAACUACGAGGGAUCUGCAGGAUGAGCGCAAGGCUGCUGUAGUCAAAGGUCUCGUCCAGAGAGAUGAGUGACCCGUGAACGCCGCUCUCCAACAGGUUGCCGCUGUACUCCCUCAGACCAAUGGACUGGACCCAGUGGAUCACCUGCUCGUUGGUCCACACCAACACGUCUGAAGUGAAGAGGGCGAGGUGAGCGGUGCGGAGGGGCUGGUGAGGGAAACCAUCUCCUGAAUGGCCAAGCGGAGUUUGAGCCGGUGCAGAGGGUUGCUGAUGCCAAUCUCCCUCUGAAUCUCUGUGUCCGACAGCGCUGACAUGAUGGCUCCGCUCUUCACGUUGGCACGACAUGCCGCCACAUACCAGGCCGGCAUACCCACCCACAGCUGAGUCAUGAUGCCUAGAUGGUGGCUGGUGCUGCGUGCGUGGUGUUUGGGUGUGGAGUGGCCACUGGUGGGCGGGGAGGAGGACGAUGCCAGGGACUGGGCAGUAGCUGACGUGGGCAGGGCGCGGGGGCGAAGCGUCACAUUGAGUCCGUCCAUGCUGCCGCUGUUCACCCGGGACUCGAUCUCGUCAGAGCGCAGCUCGGCUGACUCUCUCUCCACCUGGAUCAUCCUGCACAGACGAGCACAAGCAAGCAUCGAGCUGCUCCUGCAACAUGAGCGCGAGAGUCUGGGCAUCCGAUUGACCGCUGGGGGAG